rnacentral:rRNA from 1 species
UUUGAUCAUGGCUCAGGAUGAACGCUGGCAGUGUGCCUUAGACAUGCAAGUCGAACGAAGCACCUUUUCUGAUUCCCUCCGGGGAUGAUGAACUGGUGACUGAGUGGCGAACGGGUGAGUAACACGUGGGUGAUCUGCCCCCAAGUGCGGCAUAACAGUGGGAAACUGCUGCUAAUUCCGCAUGUGCUCCCGCCUUUUGUGGCGUGAGUAAAGUUUUUAACGCUUGGGGAUGAGCCCGCGGCACAUCAGCUAAUUGGUAGGGUAAAGGCCUACCAAGGCGACGACGUGUAGCCGACCUGAGAGGGUGACCGGCCACAGGGGUACUGAGACACGGACCCCACUCCUACGGGAGGCAGCAGUUAGGAGUCUUCCACAAUGGGCGCAAGCCUGAUGGAGCGACACUGCAUGAGGGAUGAAGGUUUUCGGAUCGUAAACCUCUGAACUAGGGACGAUAAUGACGGUACCUAGGUAAUAGCACCGGCUAACUCCGUGCCAGCAGCCGCGGUAAUACGGAGGGUGCGAGCGUUAUCCGGAAUCACUGGGCGUAAAGGGCACGUAGGCGGUCUACUAAGUCCGAUGUUAAAGAGUGGGGCUCAACCCCAUCACGGCGUUGGAUACUGGCAGGCUUGACGACUGGAGAGGAAAGUAGAAUUACCAGUGUAGCGGUGAAAUGCGUAGAUACUGGUAGGAAUACCCAUUGCGAAGGCAG